UCCCUUGUAGCUCAGUUGGCAAAGAAUCUGCCUGCAAUGCAGGAGACCCAGGUUUGAUUCCUGGGUUGGGAA
rnacentral:tRNA from 1 species